AUAAGAGGUAAGUCCUGCCCAGUGAAUNACGAUUUAAACGGCCGCGGUAUCUUGACCGUGCAAAGGUAGCAUAAUCACUCGCCUUUUAAUUGGAGGCCGGUAUGAAUGGAUUUAUGAGGGAUCGACUGUCUCCUCCACACACAUGAAAAUUAACCUUUAGGUGAAGAGGCCUAAAUUAUAUCAAAAGACAAGAAGACCCUAUAGAGUUUUAUUUCAAUUAACAAAGAUCUACAAAUACUGAUAUUUAGACUUAUAUUAAAAAAUUUAGUUGGGGCGACUGGGGAACAGAAAAAUCUUCCCCCCUAUCUAGAGUAAUUACUCUCUCUUUAGAUCCUAACCAUAGACUCAAAGAAAAACAUUACCUUAGGGAUAACAGGCUAAUCUCCCUAGAGAGUUCAAAUUGACAGGGAGGGUUGGCACCUCGAUGUUGGCUUAGGAAAACUUUUAAAUGCAGCAGUUUAAAUUAGUUGGUUUGUUCAACCAUUAAUAUCCUACGUGAUCUGAGUUCAG
rnacentral:rRNA from 1 species